AGAGCCGGCCAGGCAAUCGCGUUUCCGCCUUGAGGGUGGAAAGGAGGAAAGUCCGGGCUCCACAGGGCAGGGUGCCAGGUAAUUCCUGGGGGGCGUGAGCCUACGGAAAGUGCAACAGAAAAUAUACCGCCUGCUACGGCAGGUAAGGGUGAAAUGGUGCGGUAAGAGCGCACCGCGCAACUGGUAACAGAUUGCGGCAUGGGAAACCCCACCUGGAGCAAGACCAAAUAGGAAGGCGAAAUCGUGGCCCGCGAUGUCUUCGGGUAGGUCGCUUGAGGAUGCUGGUAACAGUGAUCCCAGAUGAAUGGUUGCCCACGACAGAACCCGGCUUACCGGCCGGCUCUCACU
rnacentral:RNase_P_RNA from 1 species